rnacentral:rRNA from 1 species
CAGUAGCCGCGGGAAAACGUAGGUGGCAAGCGUUAUCCGGAAUUAUUGGGCGUAAAGCGCGCGUAGGCGGUUUUUUAAGUCUGAUGUGAAAGCCCACGGCUCAACCGUGGAGGGUCAUUGGAAACUGGAAAACUUGAGUGCAGAAGAGGAAAGUGGAAUUCCAUGUGUAGCGGUGAAAUGCGCAGAGAUAUGGAGGAACACCAGUGGCGAAGGCGACUCUCUGGUCUGUAACUGACGCUGAGGAGCGAAAGCGUGGGGAGCGAACAGGAUUAGAUACCCCCGUAGUCCCUGUCUCUUAUAC